rnacentral:rRNA from 1 species
CCUACGGGAGACAGCAGUCGAGAAUCAUUCACAAUGGGGGAAACCCUGAUGGUGCGACGCCGCGUGGGGGAAUGAAGGUCUUCGGAUUGUAAACCCCUGUCAUGUGGGAGCAAAUUAAAAAGAUAGUACCACAAGAGGAAGAGACGGCUAACUCUGUGCCAGCAGCCGCGGUAAUACAGAGGUCUCAAGCGUUGUUCGGAAUCACUGGGCGUAAAGCGUGCGUAGGCUGUUUCGUAAGUCGUGUGUGAAAGGCGCGGACUCAACCCGCGGACGGCACAUGAUACUGCGAGACUAGAGUAAUGGAGGGGGAACCGGAAUUCUCGGUGUAGCAGUGAAAUGCGUAGAUAUCGAGAGGAACACUCGUGGCGAAGGCGGGUUCCUGGACAUUAACUGACGCUGAGGCACGAAGGCCAGGGGAGCGAAAGGGAUUAGAUACCCGGGUAGUC